rnacentral:rRNA from 1 species
ACGAACGCUGGCGGCAUGGAUUAGGCAUGCAAGUCGAACGGUGAAGGGGAGCUUGCUCUCCGGAACAGUGGCGCAAGGGUGAGGAACACGUGAGUAAUCUACCCUUAAGUUGGGAAUAGCUCCUGGAAACGGGAAUUAAUACCGAAUGACAUCAUAUUUUCGCAUGGAGAUAUGUUCAAAGCCGAAAGGCGCUUAAGGAGGAGCUCGCGUCCCAUUAGCUAGUUGGUGAGGUAACGGCCCACCAAGGCCAUGAUGGGUAGCUGGUCUGAGAGGACGAUCAGCCACAUUGGGACUGAGAACUGCCCAGACUCCUACGGGAGGCUGCAGUCGAGAAUUUUGGGCAAUGAGCGAAAGCUUGACCCAGCAAUGCCGCGUGCGGGAUGAAGGUCUUCGGAUUGUAAACCGCUGUCAUGAGGGACGAAGAUUGACGGUACCUCAAGAGGAAGCCACGGCUAACUACGUGCCAGCAGCCGCGGUAAUACGUAGGUGGCGAGCGUUGUUCGGAUUUAUUGGGCGUAAAGGGUCCGCAGGUGGUUUGCUAAGUUAGAUGUGAAAUCCCAGAGCUCAACUCUGGAACUGCAUUUAAAACUGGUGGACUAGAGUAUCGGAGAGGAGAUUGGAAUUCCAGGUGUAGCGGUGGAAUGCGUAGAUAUCUGGAAGAACACCGAAAGCGUAGGCAGAUCUCUGGACGAUGACUGACACUCAGGGACGAAAGCAUGGGUAGCAAACAGGAUUAGAUACCCUGGUAGUCCAUGCCCUAAACGUUGUCAACUUGAUGUGAGCGGUAUUACUCCCGUUCGUGUCGAAGCUAACGCGAUAAGUUGACCGCCUGGGAACUACGGCCGCAAGGCUAAAACUCAAAGGAAUUGACGGGGGCCCGCACAAGCGGUGGAGCAUGUGGCUUAAUUCGAGGCAACGCGAAGAACCUUACCUGGAUUUGACAUGGAGAGGACCGUCGUAGAAAUACGAUUUUCCGCAAGGACCUUUUCACAGGUGCUGCAUGGCUGUCGUCAGCUCGUGCUGUGAGGUGUUCGGUUAAGUCCGGCAACGAGCGCAACCCAUGUUACUAGUUGCCAGCAGGUGAAGCUGGGCACUCUAGUGAGACUGCCCGUGUUAAGCGGGAGGAAGGCGUGGAUGACGUCAAGUCCGUAUGGCCUUUAUAUCCAGGGCUGCACACGUGCUACAAUGGCUGUUACAGAGGGAAGCAAUGCCGCGAGGCGGAGCUGAUCCGUAAAAGCAGCCCUAGUUCGGAUUGCAGUCUGCAACUCGACUGCAUGAAGCCGGAAUCGCUAGUAAAGGCGUAUCAGCCACGACGCCUUGAAUACGUUCCCGGGCCUUGUACACACCGCCCGUCACAUCAUGGGAGCUGAUUGCACCCGAAGCUGCUGACCGAACCUGCAAAGGACGGAGGCAUCUAAGGUGUGGUUAGUGACUGGGAUG